GUGGAGGGAUUUCCAUGCGCAGGAUUCCAGGUCACAAUUUCCUGUCUGCUGUCUGAUGUUAGAGGACAGAAGCUCGACCCAGCUGGGCAAUGUUUGUUCUCAGGGGACUGGCCCUGUGGCUGGGAAACAGGAAGCCCAGACCCCUACAAGUGUUCAAGGUGAUGGAACCGAAGGCAGCUGUGGCUCUCUUGGCACUUGGGGGUGGAAGCUGGCUGGUGACACUGCCCCUGGAGGCAGUUGGGGCUCUCAUUCUCCACAGAUGUCUGCAGAGGUGGCAGAAGGGAUGCUGGGUCCAUCUGGAGACAUCAUGAAAAGAGCAGUUACCUGGUCUGGAAUUCAUUCCUUUUCCAUGCUGUACCCCUGGUGGAGCCCUCUGUUGGCGAGCUCGUUCCAGGUGCUGAAUAUACAAAGCUCCAACCAAGGUCCCAGGGACAGCCUGGGGGCAUCUAGCCAAGGAUGGCCCUGCAGGGCAGAAGAUGAGGGACAGUGGGGGCUGCUGCCAACUGGAGGCUGCCUGCCCCACUUCCCUCAUCAGGGUGUAGAAGACACAAAGGAAGCAAGACACCCUUUUCUUUUCUCCCUCAAUGAGCACUUUUUGGGUAUAAAAGAUGCCCUGGAUCCUUUGUGACACCGGCGGCCCCACACAGCAGCUCCCAGGCUCCUGCUGAUCUGCAAGCAGCGCUGACAUGGACAGCAGGGACACGUGAGCUCCGCUGCAGUGGGAGGCUGGCACUGGUCCACUUCGUUAGUGGGUCAGGUGAAGCUUGGCUUUCAACACAGCUGAAGAGAAGCUCUCUAGAGACAAGAUGCUCACCACUCUUUAUAUUAAAGACAAGCAGUUCAGAACCAGUGGGGCCCUUUUAGGGUUCCCUGGAAAAGACAAAGCUCCCAUUGAAGUGUGCGAGGCUUCUCAGAGUGGCUGGAGUGUGACCGGGUCCCACCAUCCCCAGGGCAUACACUCACCUUAAGGACUUAUUCCAUGAGAACACUCAGGCAAACAUAAAUACAUGUAAAUAGCAGCUCAAACAGAGACGGGGAACUAACCAAAUAAACCAAGUUAUGUCUAGGCUGUAGAGUGAUACACAGCUGUGGAAAAUAAUGCAGAUCUGAGCUGGGCAUGCUGGCACACACCUAGAAUCCCAGGUAUGUGAGAAGCUGAAGCAGGAGGAUCUGACGUUUGAAUCCAUCCUGGUCCACUUAGUGAGACUGUCUCAAAAAAAUGGGAAUCUGUAUGCUCAGAUGGGAAGGAUCUCUGCUCCAUCUUAAUUGGAAAAAGCAGGCUGCAGAACCUCUCUUCAAGAUGACCUAAUUUCCAUGAGUAAACAGAGGAGGAAGGAAGAUCUGUUUGGUAGACAGGAAAUCCUGGACCCACAUUAGUGCUCACAAUCACUACCUCUGUGGAGCAAGAGGGAGGAGAGCACAGUGUCACUGCACCUGAAACCUGAAGUUGUGUCCCCAACACUUUUUACCUGACAGAGCGCACUGAGCUUUCUCGUCAGACAGGACCAGCACUAGCCCUCAUCUACUGCCAGUCGGCUUUGUUCUGAGGAACUCACCAGAUGCUGGUCUACUUGACCAUUUCUUAGUUUGGCAUCCUGAGAGUUUGAUUUUUAGCCCUGUGUUAUAUUCCUCUUGACAAUACAGCGGUGUGCUUGAGUGUGGAGUACAGAUAUAUUUUCUCUGUGGCACAGUUGUGGUUAAAGGACACAUGCAUAUAUUUCCCUGUGGCACAGUUGUGGUUAAAGGUAGGCACACAUAUGCAUACUCCAGCACACACACGCAUACCUGCACACCCUCUUCUGUGUAGUCAUAUGCCCUCUCGUGCACACUGUACACACACGUGCACCAAGUCCCACUCUGGUUCUGGCUGAUGGGUCUUCAGGUUAUGGGAGCUGAGGAGCCAAGGACAGGGAAGGUGGUGAGGCUGCACCCACUCCUUGGCCACUUGAGACCUGCCUUUUCCCUUGAGGACUUGAAAGGUCAGGGAUAGCUUCCAGGGAAACUUCCUCAAAGAAGUCAGGUGGCCAGUGGGAUUCUGUCUGCACCAGUGGAUUGAGCAUCACAGUAAGUCUGUACUCAUGACAAAUGUGACACCAGGUUACAGCAGGAUCAUGACAUCACACAUACCCUUGGGACACAAAAGAGCAUAUAAUGAGCUGAGCCACCACUCUGCACUAGUCAGCUCCCUUGGCCCUGUAUACAGUCUUCUUCCUGUCCCCAACAUGAACAUGCUGGCUUCAGCACCUGCUUAGACAGCAAGUACAUUCCAUCUGCGGCUGAUGUUCACACCGGUGAUUGAGGACCACAGUGCCCACUGGCCCUCAGCCCUGCUCAGGGCGACAGCACUCAUCCACACCUGGACAUCAGCAGCAUCUCACUUCCUUGCAAUGGCGGAGAGGCAGACUGAGCUAGGGCUGUCUCUGUUCACUGUGCUCCUCUUUGUAUCUGUAGCCCCCUACCUGGUCCCAGGUCGUCCUGUCCUCCAUCCCUUAAGUAGGUUAGUGUUUGGGCCUCUGGCUCCCCUGAGCCACCCACCCCACUGCAACUGCAGACAUGGGGCCUCUCUGCAGUGCUGUGGAAGCAUCCAGAGAUGCCCUCCUGGACAAGCAGUGUGGCCACCCCCGGGAUGCGCAGACCUGGGCUGGCUCCAUCAUUUUAUUUCCAGGGACAUGGGCGUGGGGUCUUGUUCUUUGCUGCCUCUUGGACCCCCUGGUUUCUGGCCUGGGCACAUCCAUAUUGACCACCAGCCCCUGUGUGACCAGGGUCC
rnacentral:lncRNA from 1 species